AUUUUAGAUUGACGCAUGCUCAGCUGACUGGGGACUAUGAGUAUGGAAAACCAUUUUGCAGAAUUAGGAAUGUGCAGCUGAAAGUGGUCAAAGAUCAAAGGCCAAGACUGAUGUCAGCUUGAAAGAAACCACUCUGUGUAUUGGAUUUGCGAGAUAAAAGAUGAUGAAUUAUUGCACCAGUUUCAAGUCCAAAGAUCGAAAAGCACCAUUUAGGUCAAGGUCAACUCCAAAUAUUGGUUAAAACCUAAUUUGUACCAACAACUGAUUCCAGAAGAGGACACCCAUAAAAUAGCUA